GCCUGUUUGGCUCAGUUGGCAGAGCGUCUGCCUAGUAAGCAGAAGGUCAGCAGUUCAAUUCUGUUAACAGGCA
rnacentral:tRNA from 1 species